rnacentral:rRNA from 1 species
AAGGUCCGGGCGUUAUCCGGAUUUAUUGGGUUUAAAGGGAGCGUAGGCCGGUCUUUAAGCGUGCCGUGAAAUUUUGUGGCUCAACCAUGAGAGUGCGGCGCGAACUGGAGACCUUGAGUGCGCGGAAGGCAGGCGGAAUUCGUGGUGUAGCGGUGAAAUGCUUAGAUAUCACGAAGAACCCCGAUUGCGAAGGCAGCCUGCCGCAGCGUUACUGACGCUGAAGCUCGAAAGCGCGGGUAUCGAACAGGAUUAGAUACCCUGGUAGUCCGCGCGGUAAACGAUGGAUGCCCGCUGUCGGCGAUAUACAGUCGGCGGCCAAGCGAAAGCGUUAAGCAUCCCACCUGGGGAGUACGCCGGCAACGGUG